GAUGAAGAACGCAGCGAAGUGCGAUAAGUAGUGUGAAUUGCAGAAUUUCGUGAAUCAUCGAAUCUUUGAACGCAAAUUGCACUCUCCGGUUUUCCGGGAGAGUAUACCUGUUUGAGGGUCAGCCUAAAUAAAUUCGGCUUCGUUGCUGUGUUUUCGCGGUAACGUUUUAGUCGGAAUUUGGGUCAUCUUAAACCGAAAGGUCUUUAAGCGACUUAAAAUUUUUUUUACGAUCCUACGAACGUUUCUAAGAUCUUCUUACACGUUCAAGGUGUCGAAUAACCCUAUUAGGCGUGGCCGUCGUAUCGGAUCGCGUCCAUAAUAUUUAUUCUUUAACUGACCUCAGACAGGUAAGAGUACCCGCUGAACUUAAGCAUAUCAAUAAGCGGAGGA
rnacentral:misc_RNA from 1 species